CACCACUUCCACAAAACCCCACGACCAAUGGCUGAAAAUCACAGCCGCCCACUUCAACAUCUCAUUCCAACCGCUCAUCUCCCCUCACUAUCAUUGGGGAAUAUGGACCUCUCUCUUCACAGCUGGUGCAUUCAGCCUCUGGCCGGAGAAGACGAAAGUGCGGAGCGCGCUGAGCGGCGCCCUGGUCAGCACUCUGGUGGCGCUCGCCACAACCAUGCUCAGCAUCAUUGCUAGUGAGGUCCCGGUGUAUUAUGUUGUCUUGGAGUAUCUGCUGCCCAUUGCCGUUCAUUUGCUGCUCUUCAGAGCAGAUCUGCGUCACAUCCUGCAGUCCACUGGUGCUGCUUUUGGCUUUCUUGCUUGGAUUAGAUAACUCUUAUUAGCGAACAGUAGGGCUUUUGAUAGUGCUUUACUUUGGAAAUCUACCAAAAUAGUAUAUGCCAUCGUGGCCCCACCAUGAAGAUCGCCUCUUGCAGACAUUAGGUUGGUACACUUGUCAGGUGGGCCACACAUGUACAUCAGUUUUAGACUGUUGUCAGGUCUGAUCUAUAUCUCCAGUGUUUCUGUAUGUGGUGGUCCACUUGUUGGUGGACUGAUCUGAUUUUCGUGUCAGGUGAUCUUCAUUGUUUUGGUCAACUGUAUGCAGAGUCUUGAAUGUUCUAGGCAUGACUCGUUUGCACAUGAACUAGGUUCAGGACUAAAUCCAUAAGUAGAUUUUAAGAGGAUAAGGUCUUUUAUUAGAUGUUUCUUUUAUAAUUAGAAUUAAGGAGAGAUAAAUGAUUAAAAAGGGAAAGUAAAAAACAAUGAUAAAAGAAGGGUAAAAGAUAGGAUUGAAGAAUGUUUCAGUGUUGCUACCUUUAAGGUUGCCCCAUACUAUUAUAUCAGUUUCCAAGUGGGUUAAAAGCAAACCCACCUCCGGGAUACAACAAGCCCAACCUCUCGAUCUGAGAAUUGUGUCCUUAUAUUUGCAAAAUCAAAGUGGGUGCCUACCAGACACAACAACCUCAAAUAUGCCCAAGAAUAAGAGAAAUUACUAAGUUGUGUCAUUCAGAAUAGGAUUACAAAAUAGCAGAAAACCGAAUCUUGGUCUAAGAAAGCAAUAGAGAUAUGAGAGACAGGAAGAGAGAGAGGAGAGGCUUAGAGUCUUUGGAGCAUAUUCAGCCACUCUGAAUAGAUACAGACCCUUUCAGAUGCUUUUUGAUGGGUUUGCUAUAUUUAGAAAUCUGCCAUCUCCCCAAUUCAAAUUACAAUGAUCUCUAGAUCCAACCCAUCUAAUCACACCUAAUCGACCCAGGGGCACAAUCCAACAGUCUGAUCAAGCAAGUGCAAAGUGUACUUCAAGCGCCCUUCCUCAUGCACGCACCUCAAUGGCCUGAGGCACUCAUGAGAGAGAUGCAAAAAACACAAAGUCCUUUUCAUGAAAACAAAACCACACGUUUUCUCAUCUUUUCAGAAUUUCCAUUUUCUUAUUUUAAUACAAAAUUCAUCAUUGUUUUCAUAUCUACAAAAUUGGCGUUGAGUUUUAAUCAAACAAGUGGUCCAUUUAUUUGUUUGUUUAUUUUGAAAAACACUGAAAUAAACUGUGUUUAAUCAUCGAGCUAUUUUAAUUUUUAAGGUUUUUACCUUCAUUACUUUCCUCCAUUUGUGUUAUUUGUUACUAAUGUCUUAGAAAUAAAAAGGUUGACCCCAAUUAGUUGGGCACAAUACCUUUCACUGACAUUGAAAAUGCAACAGUGAUCAAGAGCUUCUAUGUGAUGUAGAAGGUAUACCAGUAUUUUAAACAUAAAAAUUACAUUAUGUAGUUCUUUAAUGUAGCUCUACACUUCACAAAUUGAAAAUUACCAUCCUGCAGUGACUGCAUCACUUCCUGGAUUAUUCAUCUGUUUUGGGUGGAAUCCUUCCAACUUAGAGCUGUUUUUCAAUUACAAGUUCUGACAUUUCAUAUCUUCUACAGUUUCCCCUUUGAAAACUUGGAGGAGUUUCCCUUUGCUGAUGUGUAUGCUCUGAAGUAACCACAGUUUUCAGCAAAAUUCAGAAGGAUUUAUAACCACAGUCCUUUUCUAAAUGCUACAAAUAUGAUAUACAGAAACACAUACAACACUGAAACAGCAUACCACUUAAUUCCACCAGUUGUAGCUAUUGCAAUUGUCAAAUUUUGAACAGUAAAUACAGGAACUCCCUCAAGCCU